rnacentral:lncRNA from 1 species
AGUGAGAGGGAUUACAUGAAUGUGUGACCACCAGGAGAUGGUAACAAUUGGGGUCAUGAGGGGAUAUGACUGCUACAAUCUCCCAUCAUCAAAAACAAAAACAGGAAUCUAUCAAAGCAAGAGCACCAGUGAAGAAUCUAUUUGGCUGAUAUGGACCCUGUUCUUGCUGGUUAAUGAUGAGCAUCACUGUUCAGCUAGAACACUUGCAUGAUCAUUACAUGGAUGACUCCCUGUGGAAAUGGGAAAGGAAUAAGGAAUACAUAUUUGGAAUGAAGAACAGUUUACAAACACUUGUUUGUUGGUACUAAUUUACAGAGAAUAGUGCAGGAGUUAGCUUUAUUUUUUCUUUAUUAAUAUUAUGUAUGUAUAACUUUAUAUAUGUUAUAUGUGUAUCUUACAUAUACAUUUCUAGAGACCUUAGGAAUAGAAAUCUGAAGAGCUGAGUUGCAAACCCCUUAUUUUCAAGGGUCGAACACUUCAGGUAGUUGGUGAAUAAUUUAUUACAAAGAAUCUCUACUUAGAAUUGUAACGUGUGUGUAUAUAUAUUAUAUGUAAUUAUACAUAUGUAAUAUAUACAUACAAAAAGACAGAGAGACAGAGAGAGACAGAGAAUUUACGCACCAACCAACACAAAUACAUAUGGAAUAAUAGAACAUAUGUUAAUAUCCCUAAAAUUCAGUAUGUAUGAGGCCAGAAGAGAGCGUUCAUAAAAUAUAAAGGAUCAACAUUAUGUAUACGAUGUUUU